rnacentral:rRNA from 1 species
GACAGAGGUGCCGAGCGUUAGGCGGAAUCACUGGGCUUAAAGCGUGUGUAGGCGGAUGCCUAAGUACCUUGUGAAAUCCCACAGCUCAACCGUGGAACUGCUUGGUAUACUGGGUGUCUUGAGCUAUCUAGGGGCAACUGGAACAAACGGUGGAGCGGUGAAAUGCGUAGAUAUCGUUUGGAACGCCAAUGGUGAAAACAGGUUGCUGGGGAUAUGCUGACGCUGAGACACGAAAGCCAGGGGAGCAAACGGG